rnacentral:piRNA from 1 species
UUCCUUUUCCUAAGAUAGCCACAGUUGGUC